rnacentral:misc_RNA from 1 species
UGGCUCUCGCAUCGAUGAAGAACGCAGCGAAAUGCGAUAAGUAAUGUGAAUUGCAGAAUUCAGUGAAUCAUCGAAUCUUUGAACGCAACUUGCGCCCUCUGGUAUUCCGGAGGGCAUGCCCGUUUGAGUGUCAUGUAGACUCAUCUAAUCAGAUUUUCUGAUCAAGAUGGAUUUGGAGGUUUUUGCCUAUCUUGGCUCCUCUUAAAAGCAUUGUGCAGACGUAAUAAGUUUCGUCGUACGCGCAUUCGCCCGCAAGGGCAACUACUUGUACUCUGACCUCAAAUCAGGUAGGGCUACCCGCUGA